rnacentral:rRNA from 1 species
AGAGUUUGAUCCUGGCUCAGGAUGAACGCUGGCGGCGUGCCUAAUACAUGCAAGUCGAACGAAACUUCUUUAUCACCGAGUGCUUGCACUCACCGAUAAAGAGUUGAGUGGCGAACGGGUGAGUAACACGUGGGCAACCUGCCCAAAAGAGGGGGAUAACACUUGGAAACAGGUGCUAAUACCGCAUAACCAUAGUUACCGCAUGGUAACUAUGUAAAAGGUGGCUAUGCUACCGCUUUUGGAUGGGCCCGCGGCGCAUUAGCUAGUUGGUGAGGUAAAGGCUUACCAAGGCAAUGAUGCGUAGCCGAACUGAGAGGUUGAUCGGCCACAUUGGGACUGAGACACGGCCCAAACUCCUACGGGAGGCAGCAGUAGGGAAUCUUCCACAAUGGGCGAAAGCCCGAUGGAGCAACGCCGCGUGGGUGAAGAAGGUCUUCGGAUCGUAAAACCCUGUUGUUAGAGAAGAAAGUGCGUGAGAGUAACUGUUCACGUUUCGACGGUAUCUAACCAGAAAGCCACGGCUAACUACGUGCCAGCAGCCGCGGUAAUACGUAGGUGGCAAGCGUUAUCCGGAUUUAUUGGGCGUAAAGGAAACGCAGGCGGUCUUUUAAGUCUGAUGUGAAAAGCCUUCGGCUUAACCGG